GAUGAACGCUGGCGGCGUGCCUAAUACAUGCCAGUCGAGCGAACAGACGAGGAGCUUGCUCCUCUGACGUUAGCGGCGGACGGGUGAGUAACACGUGGAUAACCUACCUAUAAGACUGGGAUAACUUCGGGAAACCGGAGCUAAUACCGGAUAAUAUAUUGAACCGCAUGGUUCAAUAGUGAAAGACGGUUUUGCUGUCACUUAUAGAUGGAUCCGCGCCGCAUUAGCUAGUUGGUAAGGUAACGGCUUACCAAGGCAACGAUGCGUAGCCGACCUGAGAGGGUGAUCGGCCACACUGGAACUGAGACACGGUCCAGACUCCUACGGGAAGCAGCAGUAGGGAAUCUUCCGCAAUGGGCGAAAGCCUGACGGAGCAACGCCGCGUGAGUGAUGAAGGUCUUCGGAUCGUAAAACUCUGUUAUUAGGGAAGAACAAAUGUGUAAGUAACUAUGCACGUCUUGACGGUACCUAAUCAGAAAGCCACGGCUAACUACGUG
rnacentral:rRNA from 1 species